AAAACAAGCUCAGGGCUCCCACUGAUUGUACAUUAUGAGACGGAGUCUUGCUAUGUUGCCCAGGCUGGUCUUGAACUCCUCACCUCAAGCGAUCCUCCCGUCUUGGCCUCCCAAGUGUCAGGAUUACGGGCAUGUGCUAUCACACCCAACCUGAUACAUUGCCUUUAUAAAUUUUUUUUUCUUUAUUCUAAAAACCAGAAAAAACAAAACUGGAUACAUGUGCAGAACAUGCAGGUUUGUUACAUAGCUGUACGUGUGCCAUGGUGGUUUGCUGCACCUAUUGACCUAUCCUCAGGGAAUUUCUUCCACUUGCAGACCAAGUGUGUUGGGGACUUGAGAUGCGUACAUGAGUGUGAUGUUUCCUGCUGAAAGCACAGGUGAGACGUGGUCUUGUAACACAGUGGUUAAGAAUGUGACUUUGGAGCCAGCCUGCUAGGGGCUGAAUUCUGACUCAGCCAUUUACUAACUGUGUGACCUUAGUCUCACUGUUGCUCAGGCUGGAGUGCAAUGGCAUGAUCUCGGCUCAUCACAACCUCUGCUUCCUGGGUUCAAGCGAUUCUCCUGCCUCAGCCUCCCGAGUACCUGGGACUACAGGCACUCGCCACCAUG
rnacentral:lncRNA from 1 species